rnacentral:lncRNA from 1 species
CAAUGUUAAAUUUUUGGUUCAAGUGAUACAGAAUGACGUCAGGGUGAUACAGAGAUACAGAACGGCGUCCAUCUUUGAUUUGAUACAGAUAUUAUCAUCUCUACAGAGGAUGAAAUCCAUAAAUAAAUAUUAUUUGAAUAAUUCUCUAUUAUAUCAGUGUUUAAUGAUAUUUAGAUAGUUUUUAAUAUUGGUUUCAAUUGACCUACAGAUUUUUUGGUUAUUUUUUUUUUUGACUGAAAAUUGUACUCAACUCAAAAUGAAUUGAGGUUAUGAAAAUAUUAACCAUCGAUAACCAAUUUUUGGAAUUUUUAGUCUGAAUCUAAAUUUAAAAGAGGAAUAGGACAGUUUUUAUCUCAUCUCUCCGAUCAUUUUGAUUUAAAUUAUAUGUGGAAAUAAUUAAAGAAUGAAACUGUUAAUUUGGUAAACAGAUACAGGAAUUUGGAGUUGCUUGGUAUGGAUUGUAAGACACAGAAGAAGACGCAUUUAGAUGUUUUUGGAUCUUGAAUCUUGAUGCUCACAGAAAAGCAAGUCAACCAGACAGGCUCUGAAAAUUGAUGAAAUGGAACAAAUUAUUUGGACAAGACACUAGAAAAAUUCUACUCGGUCGGUUUUGAAAUCAUACCU